ensembl:lncRNA
AAAGUUUUCUUUCAUCAUUUCCCUCUCUUUCCGCCCCAACCUCCCUAUUUGUCUUAUCAAAUCUUGGCAGAGAUAGCUGUGCGGAAUAGGGAGCUGCUGUUGGGAAGCAGUUUUUCCAGCGGGGUAAUAAAGCAGUCUUACUGCAAUGAAUUUUAAAGGCUGUUUUUGCUGCCUCAAGAAAUGCUGAUUUAUGACUUGAAUGAGUCAUGCUUUUUGCAAUUAGCAGGACACCGUCUAGAACUCACAGAGCAUCUUAGGCAGAAAUAGACAUUGUCUCUUCUUUUUUUUCUUCCCCUGUUAUUUUUCUAUUUUACUUUCAUUCAACCACCAAGUGAAAUACUCUCCAGGAAAAAAGAAGCUUUGGCAGCCAGGCUAGGACAACUCUCAAUUUUGCUUCGGAGUUGAAAACAUUAUCCAGUAUGGCUCUCCAGGAAAAGAUAAACUCAUGGGCAGAUGGUGCUGACCCAGUUGCUAUUGGGAAUUUGGUGAUGCAGAGCACAGAGGCAGCGAUGGGAUUUCACUACCCUGAGGAGGUGCUGAGCACAUUCAGAUGUCUCCAAAGCUGGUCAGUCCUAUAAUGAGCCCCUGUCGCGUGCCAGGAGUUGCUGAAGCUUUGGAAAGGAAGAUUUUGUCUGCUACAAACCCUGCCAUGGUACAGAGGUUAACUAGACACCUGAAAUUGCAACGCUGGAGUAGAUAAAGCAGCCUGGAAUCAGUUAACAAGCUUAAAUCACUGUUCACUCUGUCCUAUAUUACAACAGAAAAACCUUUGGAACUGAAAAUGCUGAGCUGCAUCUGCAGCUGGCAAUGAGGCAUGUAGCUCUGGCCCUGGGUUUGGCUUCUGAUGGUUGGACAGGAGCUUUGUACAUGGUGGAACAGGUUCCCAGAGAGGUGGCUGAUGCUCUGUCCCUGGACACAACCAAGGUCAGACUGGACCAGGCUCUGGGCAACCUGAGGUAGCUGUAGGUAUCCUCAUUUGUGGUAGGGGAGUUGGACUAGAUGACCCUUCCAAGAUCCCUUCCAUCUCAAAUGAUUCUACAGUCUUAUGGUGGAUGAACACUUCAGGUCUCCCAGUGAUGAACUUCAGUGGAGACAUAGCAGAAAUGUAGAGACAAGCAGGAACCCAUGAGUUGGGGAUUGGGAUGAAUGAUGGGUAUUGUCACUGCAGGCUCUGUCUUCUAAGCCAUCCUGUGUUUGGUUGCCUUGUCCUGACGUAGUCAUUCCUGUGGGAACACUUCUUCCCCUCUCCUGGUUGAAGGCAGAGUAAUUGCAGCCACACUCCAAGUGGGGCCUUCUGGUGCUCUGCACACCUCCCUCAUGCCUUGGUGUGGAACGGUUUACAUGAGAACCUUCAGUGGUAUUUAAUCAGAAAUUUGGGCUCAGAGGGUUGUUUUGGGUUUCUUUGCAUCUGUUUUCUUAGCGUUAGCAGCUGGCUCCUGGGAACCUGCUGCCACCACCUGCCCUGGCAGCACUGGGCUUUGGUGUGGUGCUGGCACUCCGUGCACAGAGCCAUUUAAUUGAAGGUGUGUGAGGACAAGGCUC